rnacentral:rRNA from 1 species
UACGUAGGGUGCAAGCGUUGUCCGGAAUUAUUGGGCGUAAAGAGCUCGUAGGCGGUUUGUCGCGUCUGCUGUGAAAACUCGGGGCUUAACUCCGGGCCUGCAGUGGAUACGGGCAGACUAGAGUGCGGUAGGGGAGACUGGAAUUCCUGGUGUAGCGGUGAAAUGCGCAGAUAUCAGGAGGAACACCGGUGGCGAAGGCGGGUCUCUGGGCCGUAACUGACGCUGAGGAGCGAAAGCCAGGGGAGCGAACGGG